AUACGGAGGGGGCUAGCGUUGUUCGGAAUUACUGGGCGUAAAGCGCACGUAGGCGGAUUAAAAAGUUAGAGGUGAAAUCCCUGGGCUUAACCCUGGAACUGCCUUUAAAACUAGUAGUCUAGAGUUCGUGAGAGGUGAGUGGAAUUCCAAGUGUAGAGGUGAAAUUCGUAGAUAUUUGGAGGAACACCAGUGGCGAAGGCGGCUCACUGGCUCGAUACUGACGCUGAGGUGCGAAAGCGUGAGUAGCAAACAGAAUUAGAAACCCGAGUAGUCC
rnacentral:rRNA from 1 species